UACUAUGUUUUUUUUUAAUCUAAAGUAUUUGUUAAGAAUAAAAAUAUUCUAUCAGUGAUACUGGUGUUGCCAGUUUGAACCCAGACCCUGAAAAUGAGAAUGUGACUCCUUUGUGACAUUUUCUAUUAACCAUGUCUUAGAAUGUUGGAUUCUGUUCAUUGAUGUAGAAUUCAUUGUAUUCAGGAAUAAAUCCUGGAUGUCAUUGACUUAAAGAUUUGAUUCCUUGAAUUAGAAACUGUAAGAAUUUAUGAAAUUAAAGCAUUCGCCAUCUUUAAUAACAGGAGGGAAUCACUCUUCAGAGCUCUGUUAUGAUAAGCCAGAUAGCUAUUCUCUGUGCUGCAGGCAUUUUCCUGCUUUAACUGAGUGAAACUGUUUUUCCUGAGUGCUGCUUAUCAGAUAGAAGACUUGAUAUCAAUACAGAAGAAAUAAUCUUCCUGUGCUAUCUCUUUUCCCUUGAGGGGAGCCGUAGUCUGAAUGGCAAGUCUUGGGCUGUGGCUUUGUGUGGUUCUGUAGUCACUUGGUUUCCAGUAACUUUUAUGAUAAUGUCCAGCAUGGUGAGAGAUUGUGCUCAUUGCCCCACUCAGUCUGCAGUGACUUUCUCUGUGUAACACGCCCUAAACGUGAAGGCAUUAGCUGCUGCACAUACAUCACGUUUCCUUGAUGUUAGGUAUAGGAAGCAUUCUCUCAGGAUAAACAAAAAGUAAGAUCAAUUCUUAAUUUUUCUUCAGAAAGACUUUCUUAUACGAUUUAUGAAACAGUUUGUUACCAACUGAGGAGUAAAGUUUCAAAUUUAAAAUCAUUUGAGGUUUUAUUAUAUUGAGACAUGUAAUUUAGUCGUUAAUAAACAAUCUUCUUUUAGAGUUAGUAUGAUAUAAAGUCAGAAGUUACAGUUUAAAGAUUUAAAAUCUAGACCUGUCAUUUUAAUAAAAUAUUUAACCAGUUAUUGUUGUUGGAAAAUGACCUUUGAUAUUCUCAUUUCCGAUUUUACUUCUAUGCUUUCAUCAUCCUAUAAUGAUGUUUCAGUAAUUUAUAAAAACAGGUUAAUGAAGCUCAUUAACUUUACCAAGUGGAAGGAGAUCUGAUCUGCUCCUAACGUUUAUGAGACUAGGGCAGACAUUCGUUUAUAAUAGGUAUACAUACAUACAUACAUACAUACCAAGAGACUGUAAGACAAGCUAACAAACUGUGAUACAUAUAUUGUGUAGCUUUAAAGGGUUCACAUUUAGAAUUAGUAGUAUUUGGAAUUUAUAAAUUGACAGUUCAUAGUAGAACAUGAUUGAACACAGACUCCUUUUAUCAUUCCUGGCUUUCUGUUUACUACAAAGAAGUUUUAUGCAGAGGCAUGCCAGGUGUGUCCAAGCCAGGUUCUUACAGUCCCUUCUCCAAAUUGCUUGCUCCUUUGCACUCAUCUGUAGUGUAGUCCAUCUGAAGGACAAGACCUGGGGGAGAGGUAUUUGUGAGGUUGGCUUAAGUGUCAUCUGCAAAAGAGGAGUUGGUUGCAUUAGGUAUAUAUCACUUUGUUAUGUGGACUUCUUGCUUAGUGGAUGUAUGUGGUCCAGUAAGGCCAAGAGUGGAAUUCAGAGUGGAAUCUUGUGCCAGAAUCCAGAUAAAAUACUGGUUGAGAUGGAUGAAGGGUGGGGGGGUCAUUCAAAGGUAGUUUCAGUAGGUGGAUAGUUUCUGAGUGCUUUUUCCUGAGUGAUAGGAUAUGGAGCUUUCUCUACCAGUAAAGCCCUUUUCACUAAGGGGUAGAAGUCGGCCUUUGAUACUGUGUUGGCCGAAGGAGGCAAAUGAUGUCUUACAUGGGCUAGUUGAGUAUUUGCCUAACAUGUAAAAGUCCUGAGUUUGAUUCCCUAUACGGGGUGGAGAGUAAGGGGGCCUUCCUAAACUGAACUCUGUGUAAAAGGUAAAAAUUUAUUAGAGAUGACCAGAGUGAACAGGAAGAGUCAUGAACUGUGGAAGAGACGAGAAGGGAAGACAUUUUAAACAUGUGCAAAAAAAUGAAAAGCAUGAAGAUAUGAGUAAAAGUAGUUAAAUCAAUAGACUUGAGGAAAAUGAAAAAAUGUGCAAGACUAUUGGUGAGAAAUCACAGAGGAAGUAAAAAUGAAUACAAGUGAGGCCUGUUUGAAGUUUGGAAAUCACAUAUCCAUAUAAGAAGAGCCAGGAACCAUGGUUGGUUAAGCAAUAACCUUUAGCUGCUCAGAAACGGAAAAAAAAAUCUGUAAAAUUUAUUUAGAAGUAUGAGAUAGAAGAAAAUAGGUUAUAGAUAUAAAGUGAAUACAUUCCUUUUUAUGUUUUAGGUUUGGUAAUCAUACAUCGUUGGUUUCAUCUUUUUAUGCAUAAAAGUCAAAAUCAUUGUACUUUGCUCCUGUUUUGUCCCCCAGUACAUUCCAUCUUCCUCAUCUUUCCCUCUUAUUUUCGCUGCCAGUUCUCUAGUAGUAGGUGUGAGCAUUAACUGAGGAAGAAAGCAAAGACGUCAGAGGGAGACUGAUAGACUAGAGCAGGACUCAGACUUUCCCAUGUAUGAACUCUUUCCACUUGAGAAGUUUUUCCAUAAGCUUAGCUGUAUAGCAUAUAAAGCAGGUAUACAAGUCAGGCAUUUAGCAAGAAUACAUCAUUGCUUUAUUUUAAAGCAAUUCUCUGACAGUCAUGUAACUAUCAGUUAUUAAAAACAAAAGCAAAUUCACAUACUAAUGAUGAAGAUCUGUUUACUUUAAUACUGUAAGUUGUAAAAGCACCUUUUUUUAUUAUGCUAGGACCUAAUAUUUUGCUAGGACCAUUAGAAAUUCUGAUUUUUAUCCCAAGUCAAAAUUUAUUGAAUGGUUUUUUUUUAAAAUGAAACUCAAGUUAGCAAUUUUUAAAAUAAAACAUUCUAACACAAUACAAAACAAAAUACACCAAUUUGAUACAUGGUAGGAAAAUGUUGAUCGUAUUUGUUGUCCAUAAUUAAACCAUCAUUAGUUCCAUAAGAGCAGAAAACAUUGUAUACCCACUCAGAACACAGACAUAACACAUGGUAGUUUUGAAUGUGGCCCCAGAUGUAGGCAGUGUGUUCACUGGGAUUGUGUGGUAUGAUGGCAAGCACAGUGUACUGUGUGUUAUGUUUAGAAUCAAAGCUGAAGUACAGUGCUGCCAGAGACAUCCUAGUUUCAUUACACAUCUUAAUUUGAAUUGUUUUGAAUGGUCUGAAUUCAGAAACCUUUUACUGUUGUCCAGACUUUUUUUUUCCAUAUACUCAGUUAUGUGGCUUUCAUAUGAGAUUACAGUCCACAUUUUUAAGAAGCUGGGCUUUAGGAAACAUGUUGGCAGUUUCUUAUAAAACUAAACUUUGUCUUACCAUAUGAACUAGCAUUAAACCACGUGUAGGAAUUUGUCCAAAUGAGGUGGAAAUUUGCAUUUAUACAAAAGAAAACACAAAAAUAUUUAUAGGACCUUUGUUCAGUUUGCCCAAACUGAAAAUAACUAGAAUGUUUGAAAGAUAAAUGGAUAAACCAUGUUCUAUUCAUACAGUGGAACGCUGCCAAUAAUUUGCAAAACCCUGCAUUCAGUUUUAUAACUCCAGAUGGGGCUGUAACUCACAGUUAAGUUGGGAGUAGCUGUUGCAGUAAGAAUGAAGAAACAGGACGUUGAAAGUGAGUAGAAAAUUGAAGUCGGGAGGAAUUAGAGGAUUUGAAAUUUGAGUAGCAAUUAAGGCCCAAAUCAGGCAGUUGCUAACAGGUACAUAAGUUGAGUGAAAUAGAGAUAAUGAAAGUCUGAAGUGUAGGCUUUUUGAGGGGGGGCGUUAUUGGGUUCCUUUAUCUACCACCCUUGUAAACCUUAUUCCACCCUAAUCUCUCCCAACCCCCCAACACUAGGUAGGAGAGAAAGACUAGAGGGGAAAGGAGGCGUGGACAUUUUCAGACUACUUUCUGCUGAUUAGGGAGGGCCAUUGGGAUCCUUGGUGCAAGUCCAAUCUUCAUCAGGAUUUGUAACUUCUUCUCGUCUCUUUGCUCACGACCACUUGACAGACUUCAGCAGCAGUAACCAGUAGCAGCCUCCUUGGUGUGUACCCCCUGCCCUUCUCAGGGCACUAGCAUUUAUAUAUCCUCUGUAAAGUUCCCAGAAUUCCAAAUGUCACACAGUUGCUGAAACUAUCUGCAGCUGCUAAAACCAUGUGCCUGCUAGAGCAAGAGGCAGAUCAUAAUCACCUGCUGUGAAUGCAACAGCCUUUCGUCCCACACCUGAGAUUAAAACAAAAGCAUAAUCACAGAAUGUAACUGGACUUUUCAAGAAACCAAAAUUCUGACUGCAGAGAAGGAACUAAGCUUAUUACUAUUUAUGAAACCAUGAUCUCUUGGUUACCACUAGAGGUAGAAAUGAAUAUGAUUAAAAAUUAAAAUGGAAAACAAAAUAAUAAUUAACUAAUUUAGCAGUGUAGCUAAACUAAUUUUGUAUAGAGAGAGCUGGUUAUAGGUUUAUAGACAUCUUCAUGUUGAAAACUAAAGACUUGCAGAGCAUCUCACUGGUGCUUCAGGAAAAAAUGUUAACGUGAUCUUUUUUUUUUUCAGUUUUAACAUUUUAUUGGGUAAAUGAUUCUAAAGGUAGUAACAAUAGUGUCAAAACUACUACAAUGUCUUUCCACAGCCAUACCUUACAGACCCACAUAAACCUUUUCAUAUUUUUGUCUUUUUGUUCAUUUUUAAUAUUUUAAAGCCAUACACGUCAUAUAAAAUGCCCACUUCCAAUAGCUUCUUCAAACUAGUAAGUAAUUCAGUGUGGAAGGAGGGAGGACCUGGUUACAAUGAAGGGGUUUUAGAUAAUCCGUGAUGUUUCACUGUAAUCAAAACACCAGGUUACUAAGAAGGGAGGGUAGAGCUACUCCAGGUAGCUUUUUGCUUGUUAGAAUUCUCACCAUUGCAUCACCAAAAACUCUUUAUGCUGGUGACCAAUUCAAAGGAAUUUUGGGAAACAUAUAAAACACUAAAAUAACUUAGAAACUAGAUCCAAAUAUCUCAAAAGUAAUCAACUUCGAUAUACAAAAGCAGUCAGAGGUGCUUACAAAAGUAUUUUUUGUUUGUUUGUUUUAUUUUGUUAUUUUCUCAGUGCUUCUAAGUACCAGCGCAGUUACUGGGUCUGGAGCAAAAUAAAAGGUUCAUUUUCUUCUGAAACAGUAAUAAAAAACAAGGAAAACAUAUCUUUGUAUAUAAAGGAUCAAUGCUGGUCAUAAGAAUAAUGUAAUCAGAAA
rnacentral:sRNA from 1 species